UAAGUACACUGUAUCCGUCUUCAGACCACACCAGAAGAGGACAUCUGAUCUCAUUACAGAUGGUUGUGAGCCACUGUCUGGUUGCUGGGAUUUGAACUCAGGACCUCUGGAAGAGCAGUCAGUGCUCUUAACCACUGAGCCAUCUCUCCAGCCCAACUUUUUUAUCACUUUUUUUUUUUUUCCCGGAGCUGGGGACCGAACCCAGGGCCUUGUGGUUGCUAGGCAAGCGCUCUACCGCUGAGCUAAAUCCCCAACCCCAACUUUUAUAUUUUUAAAAGCUAUUUAUUUAGGGGACUGGAGAUGCUCGGUGGUUAAAAGCACUUGUUGCUCCUAUUGAGGACUCGAGUUCAAUUCCCAGCAACCACACAGUUGCUUACAAACAUCCGUAACUCCAGUUCCUGGAUAUAACACUCUCUUCUGACCUCCUCAAGCACCAGGCACACACACAGGUACACACACAUAUAUACACUCAUACACAUAAAGUAUAUUUUUUAAAAAAUUUGUUGGGGCUGGGGAUUUAGCUCAGUGGUAGAGCGCUUACCUAGGAAGCGCAAGGCCCUGGGUUCGGUCCCCAGCUCCGAAAAAAAGAACCAAAAAAAAAAAAAAAAAUUUGUUUUUAUUUCAUGUGCAUUGGUGUCUUGCCUGCAUGCGUGUCUGUGUGAGGGUGUUGGAUCCUCUGGACCUGGAGUUACAGACAGUGGUAGUGCUAUGUGGGUGCUGGAAUGAGCCCAGGUCCUCUGGAAGGGCAGCCAGUACUCGUAACUGCUGAGCCAUCUCUCCAGCCCCCAAGUAAAUAUUUUCUUAAAGCUACUUUUAAAAAUUAAUACUGUGCAUGUACGCAUUUUUGGGUGUGCAUUUGAAGGUCAGAGGACAAUUUCCUGGAGUCAGUUUUCUCUUUCCACUUUUUUUUACAUGGGUCAGGGGCAUAGAACCCAAGUCUCCAGACUUACAGGGCAAACCCCUCUGCCCACUGCAUCACGUCUCUGCCCCGCCCCCCUUUGAGGCCAGUUCUCUUUGCAGCCCUAGGUGGCUAUGUCAUUGAGGCUGACCUUGAACUCCAGAUCCUCCUGCCCUCUGUUAAGUGCUGAGAUUAUGGGUGUGUCCCUAUCCCCAGGGUGACUUUUAAAGGAGACCCAUUAAACCAGGGAAAGGCACCCUAUCUGAACUAGUCCUUCUGGAAUCUCUGUGGUUUCCUAAGAACGGGGAAGCUUAGGGAGCCAGAAUGCUAUUUUCUGUGUGCAGAAGUAAAAUAACUCAGCCAUAGAUUUCUAUUCCUGGUCGAAAUGAAAAUUAGUUUUUGAGAGUCCUGUAGCUGCUCAGUCUGUAGUGUGUCCUACUGUUGACCCUGGUGGCCAAGAGCCCGAGGAUUCAAAUGUUAAAAUUAGAAUUGGCUUUGAGGACUGGCUCUAUUUACUAGCCGGGCAGAUUGUUUUUAUUUACCUAACACUUAAUACAGCGUUCGCUGUGAGCCAAGCACUGUUGUAAGCAUUUUUCAAAUAUUUGCUGGGCUAGUCUUCAGACUAGCGAUGCUAUUAUAUAAGACUGCCGUAAAGCUGGGCUAUUCUCUUCAUCUGAGUAUGAGGCACUCAAGACUGGGGGUGCGGGGCGGUUGCGGUAGCAUCCAUCGACCUAGACCUGUGAGUUUUAGCUGUCGGCCACAGCACACCCAGAGCAAAAUAGAUGAUACAGCCAUUUUGCUACGAAGGCCUCGCUCCCGGGGUAAAGGGAGGCUACAAGGGAGACCAUCUUCAAGGAAGCAAGAAAGACCCCGCUCCUUCCGGCACAGUGGGUUCAGGAAAUCCCAGGAAAGGGAGAAUUCGCUCCCACUGGCUUCCUCGCCUAUUGAGUCUCUAGAAGCUCCUUGUUAUUCAGUUCACAGCCCCUGUCCUGUGCCGUUUCCGUUUCCUUGAACAGCAGGCAUCUAGACAUGAUGCUGGUCCCCACAGCUCCUCAUCUCAUUACUCAUUCUGUUUACGGCGAAGCCUCACCCUCCAGACUGCCCUGAUUUCCCAAGCCAGGAAUUUGGCUGCCCUUGUUGACUGUGAUUCAGAUUUUCGCCUCAGCAACACUGCGACCAGGCCCUCCUGUGUACACACUCCUCCGGACACCCUGGGGACCCUGUCGGGAGUAAGGCAGAUUUCUGUGAAACACGUCUCAGGACAGAGGCACCUACAGCGGUCAGAAGCACAACUCUCGGGAGUUGUAACCUCGAACCAUGUGGGUCCCGUGGGUACAGGGAUCAAACCCCGAUCCUCAGGCCGAACCGCAAGCUCCUUUGCUUGCUAAACCAUCUCUUGAACCUUCUGCCUCUACUUCCUAAUUGCUGAGAAUCCAAGCACCCAUUACUCCCCUGGGCUCCAAGCUGGUACUUACAGACCGCUCACUGCCUCGCAGGUUCUCUCUGUAUCAAUGUUUCCCAUUGGGCACCCGGGAAGGAGCAUAUUAUAAACUUUGGAUUCGAUUCCUACGUGACUCAGGUGGCCUUGAGGUCCAGAUCAGCCUCCUAUACUCCCAUUUGUGUUCUUUCUUUCCUUCCCAGGUUACAAAGGAGUCAGCAAACAAAGCAAAAACAUGACAAAAACCAAUCAGAGCCAGGCGGGCUCUGACUGAAGGCAGUGGAAUUCCAAGCUUCGGUUUGCACAGCCUGGACUCAUUAAACUUGAAAAGAACCUG